AUUGAACGCUGGCGGCAGGCCUAACACAUGCAAGUCGAACGAGUGGCGGACGGGUGAGUAAUGUCUGGGAAACUGCCUGAUGGAGGGGGAUAACUACUGGAAACGGUAGCUAAUACCGCAUACCAUCAGAUGUGCCCAGAUGGGAUUAGCUAGGUGGUGGGGUAACGGCUCACCAAGGCGAAGAUCCCUAGCUGGUCUGAGAGGAUGACCAGCCACACGGGACCGGAGACACGGUCCAGACUCCUACGGCAGGCAUCAGUGGGGAAGAUUGCCCAAUGGGCGCAAGCCUGAUGCAGCCAGGCCGCGUGUAUGAAGAAGGCCUUGGGGUUGUAAAGUACUUUCAGCGGGGAGGCGUUACCCGCAGAAGAAGCACCGGCUAACUCCGUGCCAGCCGCCGCGGUAAUAC
rnacentral:rRNA from 1 species